rnacentral:tRNA from 1 species
GGAUUCAACGACAACAAAGGAAACUUCUAAUUUUCUUAAAGCGGUUUAAUUCCGUUACUAUCCUAU